rnacentral:snRNA from 1 species
UUGGUCCCAAAAUUGGAGUGAUAAAAAUAAGAUUAGCAUGGCACCUGCACAGGGAUGAGAUAAGCAUUCUAUAUCCAUUCCAUAUAAAG